rnacentral:rRNA from 1 species
UACAGAGGGGGCAAGCGUUGUUCGGAAUUACUGGGCGUCAAGGGCGCGUAGGCGGCCGCCUAAGUCAGACGUGAAAUCCCUCGGCUCAACCGGGGAACUGCGUCUGAUACUGGGUGGCUUGAAUCCGGGAGAGGGAUGCGGAAUUCCAGGUGUAGCGGUGAAAUGCGUAGAUAUCUGGAGGAACACCGGUGGCGAAGGCGGCAUCCUGGACCGGCAUUGACGCUGAGGCGCGAAAGCCAGGGGAGCAAACGGG